UACAGAGGUGGCAAGCGUUGUUCGGAAUUACUGGGCGUAAAGGGCGCGUAGGCGGCUUGGUCAGUCCCGUGUGAAAUCCCUCGGCUCAACUGAGGAACUGCACGGGAAACUGCCUGGCUUGAGUUCGGGAGAGGGAAGCGGAAUUCCGGGUGUAGCGGUGAAAUGCGUCGAUAUCCGGAGGAACACCGGUGGCGAAGGCGGCUUCCUGGACCGACACUGACGCUGAGGCGCGAAAGCUAGGGGAGCAAACGGG
rnacentral:rRNA from 1 species